AAAGGUGAAACCACCAGUGCUGUGCCUUCAGUCACCUCUGAAAGGUGAAACCACCAGUGCUGUGCCUUCAGUCACCUCUGAAGGGUGAAACCACCAGUGCUGUGCCUUCAGUCACCUCUGGAAGGGUGAAACCACCAGUGCUGUGCCUUCAGUCACCUCUGAAAGGUGAAACCACCAGUGCUGUGCCUUCAGUCACCUCUGAAAGGUGAAACCACCAGUGCUGUGCCUUCAGUCACCUCUGAAAGGUGAAACCACCAGUG